rnacentral:rRNA from 1 species
CAGUCCGCGGUAAUACGAAGGGAGCGAGCGUUGUUCGGAAUCACUGGGCUUAAAGCGUGCGUAGGCGGAAAUGUAAGUCAGAAGUGAAAGCCCAGGGCUCAACCCUGGAACUGCUUUUGAGACUGCAAUUCUAGAAUUCGGUAGAGGCUAGUGGAAUGUCCAGUGUAGAGGUGAAAUUCGCAGAUAUUGGACGGAACACCAGUGGCGAAGGCGACUAGCUGGGCCGAUAUUGACGCUGAGGUACGAAAGCGUGGGAGCGAACAGGAUUAGAUACCCCAGUAGUCCCUGUCUCUUAUACACA